GACGAACGCUGGCGGCGUGCCUAAUACAUGCAAGUCGAGCGCAGGAAGUCAUCCGAACCCUUCGGGGGGACGUUGACGGAAUGAGCGGCGGACGGGUGAGUAACACGUAAAGAACCUGCCCUCAGGUCUGGGAUAACCACGAGAAAUCGGGGCUAAUACCGGAUGGGUCAUCGGACCGCAUGGUCCGAGGAUGACAGGCGCUCCGGCGUCGCCUGGGGAUGGCUUUGCGGUGCAUUAGCUAGUUGGUGGGGUAAUGGCCCACCAAGGCGACGAUGCAUAGCCGACCUGAGAGGGUGAUCGGCCACACUGGGACUGAGACACGGCCCAGACUCCUACGGGAGGCAGCAGUAGGGAAUCUUCCACAAUGGACGAAAGUCUGAUGGAGCAACGCCGCGUGAACGAUGAAGGCCCUCGGGUCGUAAAGUUCUGUUGUAAGGGAAGAACAAGUGCCGCAGGCAAUGGCGGCACCUUGACGGUACCUUGCGAGAAAGCCACGGCUAACUACGUG
rnacentral:rRNA from 1 species